AUUGAACGCUGGCGGAAUGCUUUACACAUGCAAGUCGAACGGUAGAGGGGGCAACCCCUCGAGAGUGGCGAACGGGUGAGUAAUAUAUCGGAACGUGCCCAGUCGUGGGGGAUAACGUAGCGAAAGUUACGCUAAUACCGCAUACGAUCUAAGGAUGAAAGCGGGGGACCGUAAGGCCUCGCGCGAUUGGAGCGGCCGAUAUCAGAUUAGGUAGUUGGUGAGGGAAAGGCUCACCAAGCCAACGAUCUGUAGCUGGUCUGAGAGGACGACCAGCCACACAGGAACUGAGACACGGUCCAGACUCCUACGGGAGGCAGAAGUGGGGAAUUUUGGACAAUGGACGCAAGUCUGAUCCAGCCAUUCCGCGUGCAGGAUGAAGGCCCUCGGGUUGUAAACUGCUUUUGUACGGAACGAAAAGGUCUCUCCUAAUACGAGGGGCUCAUGACGGUACCGUAAGAAUAAGCACCGGCUAACUACGUGCCAGCAGCCGCAGUAA
rnacentral:rRNA from 1 species